AGGCACAGCCAAGACCUGUGAGAAUAAACUUCAUCCCCUCAUCUGUCCUGCCUGCCCAGGCCAUGGUGGGAGAACGCUCUGGACAGGGAGACAGCGGCAGUCGCGGCUCUAGUGACUUCUGUGCGUGCGCUUAGGUUGCCAGAGGCUGUGGCAAUCUGUUGCAUUCCCCGCCCUUUGCUACUUCUAAAGAGGGCGGAACCUGUCUGCGUAGGUGGGAUUGGAUGUCAACAAUGUUACUACUGUGUCAGUUGGUGUUCUUGCCACCACCACCCUCGCCCUUAGUUAUAAAGCUGGUGAAGAGUAUUGGUUGCACCAGAAAACUACCAUUGAGCACUCAGUUUCUUCUACUUAGACGAAGAAGAACAGAAAAAAGGAGGAAGAAAAGAUACUGAGCAAUAAGUAACCAAAACAACAUUGCAGUUCAUUGAAUUCAGGAGCAGAGGCCAGAGAAGGCAAUGAAAUAUGUCCGGGACAACGAUCUGCCCCGCAAGAUACAGCACACUCCCUCCUACCCCCAAGAUGAUUUCUGAUGGUCUGCGAUGUAGACAGCCUGCAGUUACCGUGUCAACGGCCUUGGGGAAGCGGAUGCUCCUCCUUCUGUUGAAUCUUCAGAGCGUCAAUGGCAACGUUGUGUCACGUGACGUCACAAUGCUUGCAUCAUCCACCUCGUUUGUCUCAUCAUGGGGGCAUCUUGUCAUCUCAUAUCAUCUAAGAAGAAGGG